GGGGGGGGGGGGGGGGGGGGGGGGGGGGGGGGGGGGGGGCGGGGGGGGGGGGCUUGCGCCGGGAUUCAGCGGCGGGCGGGUGGGUAAUGCCUAGGAAUCGGCCUGGUAGUGGUGGAUAACGUCCGGAAACGGGCGCUAAUACCGCAUACGUCCUGAGGGAGAAAGUGGGGGGUCUUCGGACCUCACGCUCUCAGCUGAUCCUAGGUCUGAUUCUCUAGUUGUGGGGGUAACGGCCUACCAAGGCGACGAUCCGUAACUGGUCUGAGAGGAUGAUCAGUCACGCUGGAACUGAGACACGGUCCAGACUCCUACGGGAGGCAGCAGUGGGGAAUAUUGGACAAUGGGCGAAAGCCUGAUCCAGCCAUGCCGCGUGUGUGAAGAAGGUCUUCGGAUUGUAAAGCACUUUAAGUUGGGAGGAAGGGCAGUAAGUUAAUACCUUGCUGUUUUGACGUUACCAACAGAAUAAGCACCGGCUAACUUCGUG
rnacentral:rRNA from 1 species